GACGUAGGGCGCGAGCGUUGUCCGGAUUUAUUGGGCGUAAAGGGCGCGUAGGCGGCCUGACAAGUGGAAGGUGAAAUCCCUCGGCUUAACCGAGGAACUGCCCUCCAAACUGUUUGGCUUGAGUCCGGGAGAGGUGAGUGGAAUUCCCAGUGUAGCGGUGAAAUGCGUAGAUAUUGGGAGGAACACCAGUGGCGAAGGCGGCUCACUGGACCGGAACUGACGCUGAUGCGCGAAAGCGUGGGGAGCAAACAGG
rnacentral:rRNA from 1 species